UACGUAGGGUGCAAGCGUUAAUCGGAAUUACUGGGCGUAAAGGGCUCGUAGGCGGCCAACUAAGUCAGACGUGAAAUCCCCAGGCUCAACCUGGGAACUGCGUCUGAUACUGGAUGGCUUGAAUCCGGGAGAGGGAUGCAGAAUUCCAGGUGUAGCGGUGAAAUGCGUAGAUAUCUGGAGGAAUACCGGUGGCGAAGGCGGCAUCCUGGACCGGCAUUGACGCUGAGGAGCGAAAGCGUGGGGAGCAAACAGG
rnacentral:rRNA from 1 species